rnacentral:misc_RNA from 1 species
UCGUAUGACGGAGGUGCCGGGGUUGUCGCUAAACUUUGUGCACGCCCCGGUGUCUCUCACAAUCCAUCUCACCCCCUUUUGUGCAUCACCGCGUGGGUGCUCUCCUUUUGGUUGAUUCUGAAAGGAGGCAUUUGCGCUUUUAUAAAGACCCAAUGCAUGUGUAGAAUGUCUUACUGUUUGCAAUGAUACGCAAUCAAUA